rnacentral:tRNA from 1 species
GGUUUGGCUCAGUUUGGUAGAGCGCCUGGUUUGGGACCAGGAAGUCGCAGGUUCGAAUCCUGUAAC